GCUUGUCUCAAAGAUUAAGCCAUGCAUGUCUAAGUAUAGUACCUUAUACUGCGAAACUGCGAAUGGCUCAUUAAAUCAGUUAUAAUUCAUUUGAUGGUACUUACUACUCGGAUAACCGUGGUAAUUCUAGAGCUAAUACAUGCUAUAUGCCCGGCUUCUGGCAGGGCUGUAUUUAUUAGAUACUAAACCAGUGUCGCAAGACAUUGUGGUGAAUCACAGUAACUGAUCGAAUCGGCGCGCAAGCGGCGAUAAAUCAUUCAAGUUUCUGCCCUAUCAGCUUUCGAUGGUAGUGUAUUGGACUACCAUGGCAGUCACGGGUAACGGAGAAUUAGGGUUCGGUUCCGGAGAGGGAGCCUGAGAAACGGCUACCACAUCUAAGGAAGGCAGCAGG
rnacentral:rRNA from 1 species